rnacentral:rRNA from 1 species
AUUGAACGCUGGCGGCAUGCUUUACACAUGCAAGUCGAACGGCAGCGCGGGGCAACCUGGCGGCGAGUGGCGAACGGGUGAGUAAUAUAUCGGAACGUACCCAGAAGUGGGGGAUAACGUAGCGAAAGUUACGCUAAUACCGCAUACGAUCUACGGAUGACAGUAGGGGACCGCAAGGCCUUAUGCUUUUGGAGCGGCCGAUAUCGGAUUAGCUAGUUGGUGAGGUAAAGGCUCACCAAGGCGACGAUCAGUAGCUGGUCUGAGAGGACGACCAGCCACACUGGAACUGAGACACGGUCCAGACUCCUACGGGAGGCAGCAGUGGGGAAUUUUGGACAAUGGGCGCAAGCCUGAUCCAGCAAUGCCGCGUGAGUGAAGAAGGCCUUCGGGUUGUAAAGCUCUUUUGUCAGGGAAGAAACGGUAGAGGCUAAUAUCCUUUGCUAAUGACGGUACCUGAAGAAUAAGCACCGGCUAACUACGUG